rnacentral:rRNA from 1 species
AGUGAACGCUGGCGGCAGGCCUAACACAUGCAAGUCGAACGGCAGCACAGUAAGAGCUUGCUCUUACGGGCGUCGAGUGGCGGACGGGGGAGGUAUACACCGGAUUCUACUCUUUCGGGGGGGCUAAUGCAGGGAAACGUACGCUAAUACCGCAUACGACCUACGGGUGAAAGCAGGGGAUGUUCGGACCUUGCGCGAGUGUAAGAGCCGAUGUAGGAUUAGCUAGUUGGCGGGGUAAAGGCGCAGCAAGGCGACGAUCCGUAGCUGGUCUGAGGGGAUGAUCCGCCACACUGGAUGUGAGACACAGCCGCGACUCUUACAGUAGGCAGCAGUGGGGAAUCUUGGGCAAUGGGGGAGAGCCUGAUACAGCCCUACCGCGUGAGGGCAGAUGGCGUUCUGCUUGUAAAGCCCUUUUGUUGUGAGAGAAAAGCAGCAGGUUUAUACCCCGUUGUUCUGACGGUACCCGAAGAAUAAGCACCGGCUAACUUCGUG